rnacentral:lncRNA from 1 species
UAGACUUAAUGUGGAAUGCAUAUUGUGAUUGUCAUGGAGUAUAUAUAUAUAUGUGUGUGGAUGUGGACAGGACGAAAACUGUAGAUUAUGCUUGUAUGAGAUGCAGAUGCGAUCUUGUGAUUGUCGUUUAGAUUGGGUGUCGUUACGCUAAAGUAUGACUGUGUGCUGGUGAUCUGAGGGGUGUAUUGACUGUAUAGUUUGAUUGACUGAUGUAUUAGUAUGUUAUUGACAGACAUAUGACCUAAGUGAGAUAAGUUGACUGUUAGGACGUUGAGAGAAAGAACUCUAUGUUUUGAAGUAUCUGAAGGAUGGGUUGAAUGGAAUGAGGGGAUAGAUUGUUAGGUUGUAUUGGGAUGAUUACCUUGUAGGUGUCCCACGGGAUCACCAAUUUAUUUUGCACCUUCGGGAGCAUUUGACUGAUAUGUGUUCUGCAGAACACUUGACUGAUAUGUGUUCUGCAGAACACUUGACUGAUAUGUACGUCCCUCGGGGCGUCAGACUGAUAUGUACGUCCUUCGGGGCGUUAGACUGAAAUGUGUAUCCUACGGGAUCACAAGACUGCGACUGUACAGGGUGUCCCAAUAGAACUUUAACAAUUUAUUUUCCCCUGACGAGACCAGUAGAGGGUCUCUUACUGAGUAUUGUUAUACUCACCCUUCUUAUGUUUAAUUUUCAGGCAAAGGUAAUAAAGGCGGCAAACCGGCGAGGGGCAGGAAGGAAGCGUGAUGCCAUAGGAAACGUGUAAUUGCUUCCGCUUAUUUAAGAUUGAUUUGAAAUUUAGUUUACAAACGUUUGUUGUAAACAGUAUUAUUUUAUACUUUCUUGAAUGUUUAAAAAUCAGGCCUGACUUGAAGAUGUUUUUUUUUUUUUUUUUUUUAAAUUGCUUAUGUUUUGUUUUAUAUUAAUCAGAGUCUUUUAUUUGUUAAAAACUAACGAUCUCGACUUACUUAGAAAAGUUGGGUCGUUACAGUUGGUAUCAGAGCCUAAGUUUUAGGUUCUGUAGACUGACUUACGAUGUAAGUCUAUGUUUUUGUGUUCCUAUGGCAAACGCGACCCUUCGUCUCUCGUCAGGUAUGCUUUAUGCUUAUAUGUAUGGUUUAUUUGCAUGACCUUGCCUAAAUUAAACUAGAUUGCAUGACGAUAAAGACUUGCUUAUGUUUAUGAUUAAGAUUUUGUUAAAGAGUGUUGUUGGUGGAUAAUAGGAAUUAUGCCGCCAAGGGAAGAAGUACGUAGAGGAGGUCGUAGAGGCCGAGGUAGAGGAGCAGGAGGCCGAGGUAGAGGAGCAGGUCGUAAUCAGCCUACUGAGGGUCAAGCUGAACAGCGAAUUCCUGCUGCACCCGUGACUCACGUUGAGUUUGAUGCACUGUCUGCUCACAUGGAGCAGAGGUUUACAGAACUUAUGACAGCCAUAGCUCAAAACCAGCAGGCACCUGCAGUCCCACCUGCACCUGUAGUUCCCCCUGCACCAGCAGCCCCUCCUGCACAAGAAUUACCUAACCAACUUUCUGCUGAGGCGAAACAUUUGAGGGACUUUCGGAAGUAUGACCCUCAGACGUUUGAUGGGUCACUGGAGGAUCCUACUAAAGCUGAAAUGUGGUUGUCCUCUGUGGAAACCAUAUUUAAUUACAUGAGAUGUCCUGAGGAGCACAGAGUUCAGUGUGCUGCUUUUCUACUGAGGGACAGAGGCAUUAUCUGGUGGAGGACUACCAUGCGCAUGCUAGGUGGAGAUGUGAGGCAGAUUACCUGGGAUCAGUUUAAGGACUGCUUCUAUACCAAGUUUUUCUCGGCUAACCUUAGAGACGCCAAAAGCCAGGAAUUCUUGGAGUUGAAGCAAGGAUAUAUGACAGUCGAGGAGUACGACCAGGAGUUUGAUAUGCUGUCACGUUUUGCCCCUGAGCUUGUUAGUAAUGAACAGGCUAGAGCUGAUAGGUUCGUCAAGGGAUUGAGAGAUGAAAUUAGGGGUUUUGUGCGAGCACUAAAGCCCACUACCCAAGCUGAAGCACUGCGUCUGGCAGUGGAUAUGAGUAUUGGGAAGGAUGAAAGACAGCCAAGGAGCUUUAAUAAGGGAUCGUCGUCGGGUCAAAAGAGAAAAGUAGAGCAGAGAACUGUAGGAGUUCCUCAGAGGAACAUGAGACCAGGUGAUUCUUUUCGCAGUUUCCAGCAGAGUUCUGGCGGUGCAGGAGACACUACUCAAGAGAGGCCAGUAUGUGAUACGUGUGGGAAACGCCACCUGGGUCGUUGUUUGAUGGGAACGAGAGUCUGUUAUAAGUGCAAGCAAGAGGGACACAUGGCUGAUAGGUGUCCCUUGAGAUCUACUGGGGCUGGAUCGAGCAGUCAGGGAGAGAGACCUCCACAGCGGGGUACAAUCUUUGCCACUAAUAGAUCAGAGGCAGAGAAGGCCGGCACAGUAGUGACAGGUACGUUACCAGUAUUGGGGCAUUUUGCCUUGACCUUGUUUGACUCGGGAUCUUCUCAUUCAUUUAUUUCAUCGCUUUUUGUGACGCAUGCAUGCUUAGAAGUGGAACCCUUAGACUAUGUUUUGUCAGUGUCUACACCGUCUGGAGAAAUUAUGUUGUCUAAGGAAAAGAUUAAAGCAUGUGAAAUUGAAAUAGCUGGUCGUGUACUGGACGUAACCUUGUUGGUAUUAGAUAUGCGUGACUUUGAUGUAAUUUUAGGUAUGGAUUGGCUAGCUACUAAUCAUGCUAGUAUUGAUUGUUCUCGUAAGGAAGUUGUGUUUAGUCCCCCUACUGCAUCUAGCUUUAAAUUCAAGGGAGUAGGAACAGUAGUACUGCCUAAAGUAAUCUCAGCUAUGAAAGCUAGUAAACUACUCAGCCAGGGUACUUGGAGUAUUUUGGCAAGUGUGGUGGAUACUAGGGAAGGUGAGACUUCUUUAACUUCAGAACCUGUGGUAAGAGAAUACCCAGAUGUAUUUCCAAAAGAUCUUCCAGGACUGCCGCCACAUAGAGAGGUUGAUUUUGUCAUUGAGUUGGAGCCAAACACUACUCCUAUUUCUAGAGCCCCUUAUAGGAUGGCUCCUGCUGAGUUGAAAGAACUGAAGGUACAGUUACAGGAAUUGCUUGACAAAGGCUUUAUUCGACCUAGUGUGUCACCUUGGGGUGCACCAGUAUUGUUUGUGAAGAAGAAGGAUGGGUCGAUGCGUCUUUGCAUUGACUAUAGAGAGUUGAAUAAAGUAACAGUCAAGAACAGGUAUCCUUUACCCAGAAUCGAUGAUUUGUUCGAUCAGUUACAGGGAGCCACGGUGUUCUCUAAGAUUGACUUACGGUCAGGUUAUCACCAGUUGAGGAUUAGAGACCGUGAUAUUCCUAAGACUGCCUUUCGUUCGAGGUAUGGACAUUAUGAAUUCAUAGUGAUGUCUUUUGGUUUGACUAAUGCACCUGCUGUAUUUAUGGAUUUGAUGAACAGGGUGUUUAAGGAUUUCUUGGACACUUUUGUGAUAGUCUUCAUUGAUGAUAUCUUGGUUUAUUCCAAGACUGAAGUCGAACAUGAGGAACAUUUACAUAAGGUAUUAGAGACUCUUCGAGCCAAUAAACUGUAUGCUAAGUUCUCGAAGUGCGAAUUUUGGUUGAAGCAGGUGGCUUUUCUUGGUCAUGUGGUUUCCAGUGAGGGAGUUUCAGUAGACCCUGCAAAGAUAGAAGCUGUUACCAGUUGGUCUCGACCCUCCACAGUUGGUGAGGUUCGUAGUUUUCUGGGUUUAGCAGGGUACUACCGGAGGUUUGUGGAGGAUUUUUCACGUUUGGCUACUCCUUUGACUCAGUUGACAAGGAAGGGAACUCCGUUUGUUUGGAGUCCAGCUUGUGAGGAUAGUUUUCAGAACCUUAAGCAAAGGUUAGUUACUGCACCGGUCCUUACUGUACCAGAUGGAUCUGGAAGUUUUGUGAUUUACAGUGAUGCUUCCAAGAAAGGACUGGGUUGUGUUUUGAUGCAGAAAGGUAAGGUGGUUGCUUAUGCCUCUCGUCAGUUGAAGAGUCACGAGCAGAACUACCCCACACAUGAUUUGGAGUUGGCAGCAGUGGUUUUUGCAUUGAAGAUAUGGAGACAUUACUUGUACGGUGAAAAGAUACAAAUCUUUACUGACCAUAAGAGCCUAAAGUACUUCUUCACUCAGAAGGAGUUGAAUAUGAGACAGCGAAGGUGGCUCGAGUUGGUAAAAGAUUAUGACUGUGAGAUAUUAUACCAUCCUGGUAAGGCGAAUGUGGUGGCUGAUGCUCUUAGUAGAAAAGCAUCACAUUCGGCAGCACUCAUUACUAGACAGGUACCAUUGCAUCGAGACUUGGAGAGAGCUGAGAUUGCAGUGUCUGUGGGGAGAGUCACCUCACAGCUAGCUCAAUUAACGGUGCAACCGACUCUGAGGCACAAGAUUGUUGAUGCUCAGAGUAAUGAUCCUUAUUUGAUGGAGAGACGUAGCCUUGUUGAAACAGGGCAGACUGAUGAGUUCUCCAUAUCCUCUGAUGGUGGGUUGAUGUUUGAGAGACGUUUAUGUGUGCCAGCGAACAGUACAGUUAAGAUUGACUUACUAGAUGAAGCCCAUAAUUCCCCAUUUUCCAUGCAUCCUGGUAGCACGAAAAUGUAUCAGGAUCUAAAACGAUUUUAUUGGUGGCGGAAUAUGAAGAGAGAAGUGGCGGAAUUUGUUAGUAAGUGUCUAGUAUGUCAGCAAGUUAAGGCACCUAGACAGAAACCAGCAGGUUUACUACAACCUUUAAGUGUGCCAGAGUGGAAGUGGGAGAAUGUGUCGAUGGAUUUUAUUUCAGGGCUGCCUAAGACCCUGAAGGGUUUCACAGUGAUUCUGGUUGUCAUAGACAGGCUUACAAAAUCGGCACAUUUUGUACCAGGAAAAUCCACUUAUACUGCUAGUAAGUGGGCAGAGUUGUAUUUAACUGAGAUUGUGAGACUGCAUGGAGUGCCUGUAUCGAUUGUUUCUGAUAGGGAUGCACGGUUUACUUCCAAGUUUUGGAAGGGACUUCAGACUGCUAUGGGUACGAGAUUGGAUUUCAGUACAGCCUUUCAUCCACAGACUGAUGGUCAAACUGAACGUUUGAACCAAGUUUUAGAGGAUAUGCUACGAGCUUGUGUUAUAGAGUUUCCAGGUAGUUGGGACUCUCAUCUACAUUUGAUGGAGUUUGCUUAUAACAACAGUUUCCAGGCUACCAUCGGUAUGGCACCAUUUGAGGCUUUAUAUGGCAAAUGUUGUAGAACCCCUGUUUGUUGGAGUGAGGUUGGUGAACAUAGAUUGAUGGGACCUGAAUUAGUUCGGUCUACUAAUGAGGCUAUUCAAAAGAUUAGAGCACGUAUGCAAACAGCGCAGAGUAGACAGAAGAGUUAUGCGGAUGUACGACGAAAAGACCUUAAGUUCGAUGUGGGAGAAAAGGUAUUCUUGAAGGUAGCACCUAUGAAGGGUGUUAUGCGUUUUGAGAAGAAAGGAAAGUUAAGUCCUCGUUUUGUUGGACCAUUUGAGAUCUUAGAGAGGGUUGGUGUUGUGGCGUAUCGCUUGGCAUUACCACCAUCUCUCUCUGCAGUUCAUAAUGUUUUUCAUGUUUCGAUGUUGAGGAAGUAUGUGGCCGAUACGUCUCAUGUAGUGGACUAUGAACCCUUGGAGAUUGAUGAGCAUUUGAGCUAUGUAGAACAACCUGUGGAGAUUCUGGCUAGAGAGGUAAAGAUGCUUCGUAAUAGAAGCAUUCCAUUAGUAAAGGUUUUGUGGCGGAAUCAUCGAAUUGAAGAGGCGACAUGGGAGCGAGAGGAAGAAAUGAGGACUCGUUAUCCAGAGUUAUUUCAGGAUUAGAACUUUCGAGGACGAAAGUUUCUUAAGGAGGGAAGAAUGUAAUGCCCCAAAGGUAUGUAUAUAUAUAUUUUUUUUUAAUUUUAUAUAUAUAUAUAUAUAUUUAUACUUAAUUUAAAUAAAAAGAAAAGAAAAAGAAAUUUAUCUCUCUCUCUCGCGCGCACACAACCCCUCUCUCAUUUUUCUUUUCUUCUCCUUCCGGUACCCUAGCAGCCGCCCACCCAUUUUCCCUAUUCUUCUUCCCGUCCUGCCGCAGCCAACCGCAGUCAGCCGCCCCAUCCGUUCGCACAGCAACUGCCGUCGGCCAUCUCCAUCUUCUCUUUUCCUCUCCGUUUCGUCCAAACCCAGCCGGACGUCGCUGCAACCGUCGGCCGCCAUCUCUGUUCGCGAAGCAAGGCCGCCGCGUGAACCUGUAACCGCCGGCUGUCUCCCCUCUCCUUUCUCCUCUGUUUUCAGCCCAGCCGCCGCCGAUUCCUUCUCCUCCGUCGUCUGCACUGCCGCGCGACUCUCCGGCCAUCUGUAUACGGUCUCUCCGUCGCACGUCAUCUCUUCGCAAAGCCACUGCUCGAUUUCUUUCGCGAAGAUUUGGGUAAGUUGCAAAAAGAUUCACAUUGGGUUGAAUUUAAAUGACUGAUGCGUUGAAGGGAAUUAUUGAGAAAUUGUCUUAAUGUUUAGGUUCGUUCUUCAUAGACUUCAACGUGGUUAAGGAGCUUAACAAAUUUGAAGGUAAGGGAUUUUCUACUGGACUCACUUAUGAUUGUGAAUUGCAUGUCUGAAUGAUUAUCUUUGACUGAGUAAAGAUGUUGAGAUGAUACUUAUGUUUAUACACGUAUGGGUGUAGAUUCGGUGCUGAAUGUACACUGUGGAUUGACUAAAAAUAUAUAUAUAUGCAUAGAAAUUGAAGUAGACUUAAUGUGGAAUGCAUAUUGUGAUUGUCAUGGAGUAUAUAUAUAUAUGUGUGUGGAUGUGGACAGGACGAAAAUUGUAGAUUAUGCUUGUAUGAGAUGCAGAUGCGAUCUUGUGAUUGUCGUUUAGAUUGGGUGUCGUUACGCUAAAGUAUGACUGUGUGCUGGUGAUCUGAGGGGUGUAUUGACUGUAUAGUUUGAUUGACUGAUGUAUUAGUAUGUUAUUGACAGACAUAUGACCUAAGUGAGAUAAGUUGACUGUUAGGACGUUGAGAGAAAGAACUCUAUGUUUUGAAGUAUCUGAAGGAUGGGUUGAAUGGAAUGAGGGGAUAGAUUGUUAGGUUGUAUUGGGAUGAUUACCUUGUAGGUGUCCCACGGGAUCACCAAUUUAUUUUGCACCUUCGGGAGCAUUUGACUGAUAUGUGUUCUGCAGAACACUUGACUGAUAUGUGUUCUGCAGAACACUUGACUGAUAUGUACGUCCCUCGGGGCGUCAGACUGAUAUGUACGUCCUUCGGGGCGUUAGACUGAAAUGUGUAUCCUACGGGAUCACAAGACUGCGACUGUACAGGGUGUCCCAAUAGAACUUUAACAAUUUAUUUUCCCCUGACGAGACCAGUAGAGGGUCUCUUACUGAGUAUUGUUAUACUCACCCUUCUUAUGUUUAAUUUUCAG